AGAACUUCAAGAAACAAAGAAAAUAAAGAAAGAAUAGAGAUCUGAUUCUUGGAAAACAGAAUAAGAGCACAGAGGAAGGAAAUUUUGAGGGAAAAUCUGGUAAAUAGAAAGAAGAAUGCCAAGAAGGAAGAACAGAAAAGAAUUUUGAACAAAGGAAAGGGAAGAUGAAUAGAAGGAAAAGAAGAAAGGAAGAUGGUAGAUUAGAGAAGAGAGAAUAGAAGAAUAAGAAGAAGAAGAAG
rnacentral:misc_RNA from 1 species